CGAAGUAUAGCUCAGUUGGUUAGAGUAUCGCCUUGACAUGGCGGGGGUCAGUGGUUCGAAUCCACUUACUUCGA
rnacentral:tRNA from 1 species